GAUGAACGCUAGCGGGAGGCCUAACACAUGCAAGCCGAGCGGUAUUGUUUCUUCGGAAAUGAGAGAGCGGCGUACGGGUGCGUAACACGUGUGCAACCUGCCUUUAUCUGGGGGAUAGCCUUUCGAAAGGAAGAUUAAUACUCCAUAAUAUAUUGAACGGCAUCGUUUAAUAUUGAAAGCUCCGGCGGAUAGAGAUGGGCACGCGCAAGAUUAGCUGGUUGGUGAGGUAACGGCUCACCAAGGCGAUGAUCUUUAGGGGGCCUGAGAGGGUGAUCCCCCACACUGGUACUGAGACACGGACCAGACUCCUACGGGAGGCAGCAGUGAGGAAUAUUGGUCAAUGGGUGCAAGCCUGAACCAGCCAUCCCGCGUGAAGGACGACUGCCCUAUGGGUUGUAAACUUCUUUUGUAUAGGGAUAAACCUACCCUCGAGAGGGUAGCUGAAGGUACUAUACGAAUAAGCACCGGCUAACUCCGUG
rnacentral:rRNA from 1 species